rnacentral:tRNA from 1 species
GCCAUGUCAUGAAAGGAAACUGCGGCAGACUUAAAAUCUGCCGACCGCGAGGUCUUGCCGGUUCGAUUCCGGCUCGGGCACCA